rnacentral:rRNA from 1 species
UUAGCAGUAGGGAAUCUUCCACAAUGGACGCAAGUCUGAUGGAGCAACGCCGCGUGAGUGAAGAAGGUUUUCGGAUCGUAAAGCUCUGUUGUUGGUGAAGAACGAUAGAGGUAGUAACUGGCCUUUAUUUGACGGUAUCAACCAGCAAGUCACGGCUAACUACGUGCCAGCAGCCGCGGUAAUACGUAGGUGGCAAGCGUUGUCCGGAUUUAUUGGGCGUAAAGCGAGCGCAGGCGGGUAGAAUAAGUCUGAUGUGAAAGCCCUCGGCUUAACCGGGGUAGUGCAUCGAAAACUGAAGACUGAUGCAG